AAUCUUCCGCAAUGGACGAAAGUCUGACGGAGCAACGCCGCGUGAGUGAUGAAGGNCUNNGGAUCNUNAAACUCUGUUGUUAGNNNNNAACAAGUAUCGUUCGAAUAGGGCGGUACCUUGACGGUACCUAACCAGAAAGCCACGGCUAACUACGUGCCAGCAGCCGCGGUAAUCCUGAGGUGGCAAGCGUUAUCCGGAAUUAUUGGGCGUAAAGCGCGCGCAGGAGGUUUCUUAAGUCUGAUGCGAAAGCCCACGGCUCCACCGUGGAGGGUCAUUGGAAACUGGGAAGCUUGAGUGCAGAAGAGGAGAGUGGAAUUCCAUGUGUAGCGGUGAAAUGCGUAGAGAUAUGGAGGAACACCAGUGGCGAAGGCGACUCUCUGGUCUGCAACUGACGCUGAGGCGCGAAAGCGUGGGGAGCGAACA
rnacentral:rRNA from 1 species